GCAAACUGUUGGUAUACAAUUUUGUCCCUCAAGCAGACUAAUUCUGGAGCCAAAGUAUACACCCUAUUGGAAAUGAAUGAAUUGGCCUCCUGGUGUACCAAUUAGUUUUUGGUAUUUAGUAUUCUUACCAUCUUUCCCUGCUGCGCUCACGGCGGACAAUGCUCAUCUGUCAUGACACUCUGAGGAUCCCAGACCCAGCUGCAUAAUCAUUCUCAGUCCAACACUCCAGGAACCAAGGGAUCACAAUCCCCUUCUAAGAGGAAUCCAGCAUGUGUCUGGUCUUGGGCAUUCCCUGGUGGGUGAGUAACCCUGUUCUGUCAUCA
rnacentral:lncRNA from 1 species